UGGCCCAUAGCUCAAUUCGGGAGAGCGUUUACCUUCUAAGUAAGUGGUUAUAGGUUCAAAUCCUAUUGGGGCAA
rnacentral:tRNA from 1 species